GAGCGCGUAGCUCAGUCGGUAGAGCACCUGACUUUUAAUCAGGGGGUCCUGGGUUCGAGCCCCAGCGCGCUCACCA
rnacentral:tRNA from 4 species